UACGGGGGGAGCAAGCGUUGUUCGGAUUUACUGGGCGUAAAGGGCGCGUAGGCGGCCACCGCAAGUCAGUUGUGAAAUCUCUGGGCUUAACCCAGAAAGGUCAACUGAUACUGCGGGGCUAGAGUGCAGAAGGGGCAACUGGAAUUCUCGGUGUAGCGGUGAAAUGCGUAGAUAUCGGGAGGAAUACCGAUGGCGAAGGCAGGUCUCUGGGCUAUAACUGACGCUCAUGCACGAAAGCGUGGGGAGCAAACAGG
rnacentral:rRNA from 1 species